UACGAAGGGUGCAAGCGUUACUCGGAAUUACUGGGCGUAAAGCGUGCGUAGGUGGUGUGUUAAGUCUGUCGUGAAAGCCCCGGGCUCAACCUGGGAAUGGCGAUGGAUACUGGCUCGCUAGAGUGCGGUAGAGGGUGGUGGAAUUCCCGGUGUAGCAGUGAAAUGCGUAGAGAUCGGGAGGAACAUCAGUUGCGAAGGCGGCCACCUGGACCAGCACUGACACUGAGGCACGAAAGCGUGGGGAGCAAACAGG
rnacentral:rRNA from 1 species